rnacentral:rRNA from 1 species
AUUGAACGCUGGCGGCAGGCCUAACACAUGCAAGUCGAGCGGAGCGGCGGACGGGUGAGUAAUGCCUAGGAAUCUGCCCGGUAGUGGGGGAUAACGUCCGGAAACGGGCGCUAAUACCGCAUACUAUCAGAUGAGCCUAGGUCGGAUUAGCUAGUUGGUGGGGUAAAGGCCUACCAAGGCGACGAUCCGUAACUGGGUUGGGAGGAUGAUCAGGCACACGUGAACUGGAACACGGUCCAGACUCCUACGGGAGGCAGCAGUGGGGAAUAUUGGACAAUGGGCGAAAGCCCGAGCCAGCCAAGCCGCGUGUGUGAAGAAGGUCUUCGGAGUGUAAAGCACUUUAAGUUGGGAGGCGUUACCAACAGAAAAAGCACCGGCUAACUUCGUGCCAGCAGCCGGGGUAAUUUC